rnacentral:lncRNA from 1 species
GUAAAACCAUGUUGUUGCCUUUACACAUUGUUAUGAAAGAGGUGGAUAAAAAAUUGUCAUCAAAACUCUGAAUCAUCGAAACUUUGAAUCUUGCUAAAGAGAGACAGAGGGAGAGAGGGAGAGAGAGGGAGGGAGGGAGUUUUAUGCAAGAUAGAAAAGAAUGUUGAGCAAAAUAAAUGUGAGAAUUGUUAGUUUUGCAGAGAAAGUAAAAAUAGAGAAAAUAAAAAAAUUGUCUUUAUUGAAACUUUGAAUCUUAAUGAUACCUGAAAGGUUUCCAAAUCAUUUGACUGGCAAGGUGGAUUAUGCUUCAGGAAGC